CCUACGGGAGGCAGCAGUGGGGAAUAUUGGACAAUGGGCGAAAGCCUGAUCCAGCAAUGCCGCGUGUGUGAAGAAGGUCUUCGGAUUGUAGAGCACUUUCGACAGGGACGAUGAUGACGGUACCCGUAGAAGAAGCCCCGGCUAACUUCGUGCCAGCAGCCGCGGUAAUACGAAGGGGGCUAGCGUUGCUCGGAAUGACUGGGCGUAAAGGGCGCGUAGGCGGUUUAUGCAGUCAGAUGUGAAAUCCCCGGGCUUAACCUGGGAACUGCAUUUGAGACGCAUAGACUAGAGGUCGAGAGAGGGUUGUGGAAUUCCCAGUGUAGAGGUGAAAUUCGUAGAUAUUGGGAAGAACACCGGUGGCGAAGGCGGCCUGCUGGACAUUAACUGACGCUGAGGAGCGAAAGCGUGGGGAGCAAACAGGAUUAGAUACCCGCGUAGUC
rnacentral:rRNA from 1 species